rnacentral:rRNA from 1 species
UACGAAGGGGGCUAGCGUUGUUCGGAUUUACUGGGCGUAAAGCGCACGUAGGCGGAUCUUUAAGUCAGAGGUGAAAUCCCAAGGCUCAACCUUGGAACUGCCUUUGAUACUGGGGAUCUCGAGUUCGGGAGAGGUGAGUGGAACUGCGAGUGUAGAGGUGAAAUUCGUAGAUAUUCGCAAGAACACCAGUGGCGAAGGCGGCUCACUGGCCCGAUACUGACGCUGAGGUGCGAAAGCCAGGGGAGCAAACGGG